rnacentral:rRNA from 1 species
CGACGUGGGUAACCUGCCUCAUACAGGGGGAUAACAGUUAGAAAUGACUGCUAAUACCGCAUAAGCGCACAGUGCUGCAUGGCACAGUGUGAAAAACUCCGGUGGUAUGAGAUGGACUCGCGUCUGAUUAGCUAGUUGGUGGGGUAACGGCCUACCAAGGCGACGAUCAGUAGCCGGCCUGAGAGGGUGAACGGCCACAUUGGGACUGAGACACGGCCCAG